GAUCCUGGCUCAGGACGAACGCUGGCGGCGUGCCUAACACAUGCAAGUCGAACGGACGAGAGGGAGCUUGCUCCCUCAAGUUAGUGGCGGACGGGUGAGUAACGCGUGAGUAACCUGCCUUUCAGAGGGGAAUAACAUUCUGAAAAGGAUGCUAAUACCGCAUAAUGUCACAGUAUCGCAUGGUACAGUGACCAAAGGAGCAAUCCGCUGAAAGAUGGACUCGCGUCCGAUUAG
rnacentral:rRNA from 1 species